rnacentral:rRNA from 1 species
CGGUAUAUUAACUGUGCUAAGGUAGCAUAAUAAUUUGUUUUUUAAUUGAAAACUGGGAUGAAAGAUUAAUUAUUUAAUUAGUUUUUAGGUGAGAAAUCAUUAAUUUUUAGUAAAAGUAAAAAUACUUUUGUAAUUAAAAUAGACGAUAAGACCCUAAAAUCUUUAUUUUAAUAAUUAGAAAUAUUUAAUUAGUAAAAUUUAUUUGGGGUAAAUAUAUUUUAUAGAUAUUGUAAAAUAAAAGUGUGUAGUUUUAGAAUCUUAUUAUUAGGUUAUUUGUAAUAGUUACUUUAGGGAUAACAGCGUGAUUUCUUAUUGAAGAGGGUAUUUAUUAAGAUAUUUGCGACCUCGAUGUUGAAUUAAAAGUUCUGUUUGUAGAAGAAUACAAGUAAGAUGGUUUGUUCAACCUUUUAUUUUUUACAUGAUCU